GCGGCAUGCUUUACACAUGCAAGUCGAACGGUAACAGGGAGCUUGCUCCGCUGACGAGUGGCGAACGGGUGAGUAAUAUAUCGGAACGUACCCAAGAGUGGGGGAUAACGUAGCGAAAGUUACGCUAAUACCGCAUACGAUCUAUGGAUGAAAGCAGGGGACCUUCGGGCCUUGUGCUCCUGGAGCGGCCGAUAUCUGAUUAGCUAGUUGGUGAGGUAAAGGCUCACCAAGGCGACGAUCAGUAGCUGGUCUGAGAGGACGACCAGCCACACUGGAACUGAGACACGGUCCAGACUCCUACGGGAGGCAGCAGUGGGGAAUUUUGGACAAUGGGCGCAAGCCUGAUCCAGCAAUGCCGCGUGAGUGAAGAAGGCCUUCGGGUUGUAAAGCUCUUUUGUCAGGGAAGAAACGGCUGUGGCUAAUAUCCACGGCUAAUGACGGUACCUGAAGAAUAAGCACCGGCUAACUACGUGCCAGCAGCCGCGGUAAUACGUAGGGUGCAACCGUUAAUCGGAAUUACUGGGCGUAAAGCGUGCGCAGGCGGUUUUGUAAGUCUGUCGUGAAAUCCCCGGGCUCAACCUGGGAAUUGCGAUGGAGACUGCAAGGCUAGAAUCUGGCAGAGGGGGGUAGAAUUCCACGUGUAGCAGUGAAAUGCGUAGAGAUGUGGAGGAACACCGAUGGCGAAGGCAGCCCCCUGGGUCAAGAUUGACGCUCAUGCACGAAAGCGUGGGGAGCAAACAGGAUUAGAUACCCUGGUAGUCCACGCCCUAAACGAUGUCUACUAGUUGUCGGGUUUUAAUUAACUUGGUAACGCAGCUAACGCGUGAAGUAGACCGCCUGGGGAGUACGGUCGCAAGAUUAAAACUCAAAGGAAUUGACGGGGACCCGCACAAGCGGUGGAUGAUGUGGAUUAAUUCGAUGCAACGCGAAAAACCUUACCUACCCUUGACAUGUC
rnacentral:rRNA from 1 species